CCAAUCAAAGACAACUAUCCACCUCUACUCGUGGAUAUUGUUGGAGAGACAAAGGAACAGUUAUUAGACACCUGGGGAGACCCCCUCCCGAGUCAGAAAAUGUGACUUUCCAUGGCCUGUGAUACGACACAUGUUGAGGUCCAUCUGGAAGCUGUCUACGUCAUCGGCCCCAGCAGUGCUGACUGAUAUGAAACCCUGGCCAGUCACCUUUAGAAACCAGUAUGUUUAAGUGGACAGAGCUGUGAUUUCCACACUGGCUAACCAGAGAGCAGCCCGGGCUGCUUUAGAGAAACACCAGGGAGAGGGUCUGGUGCCAGGGCUUUUGAAAGGGACUCCACUGACUCAGGUUGUUUCUAAAAUCUGGGAAGCCUUCUCCUGUGCCCUCCUCCCACAGAGUUCCCUGCAGUCAUUUCUGAGACUCAGCAGGGAAAUGUGGACACAGAUAAGCAUACAGGAAUGAAGCCAUGC
rnacentral:lncRNA from 1 species